rnacentral:misc_RNA from 1 species
GAUGAAAGAACGCAGCGAAAUGCGAUACGUAAUGUGAAUUGCAAAUUCAGUGCAUCAUCGAGUCUUUGAACGCACAUUGCGCCCCCUGGUAUUCCGGGGGGCAUGCCUGUCCGAGCGUCAUUGCUGCCCUCAAGCACGGCUUGUGUGUUGGGCCCCGUCCUCCGAUCCCGGGGGACGGGCCCGAAAGGCAGCGGCGGCACCGCGUCCGGUCCUCGAGCGUAUGGGGCUUUGUCACCCGCUCUGUAGGCCCGGCCGGCGCUUGCCGAUCAACCCAAAUUUUUUAUCCAGGUUGACCUCGGAUCAGGUAGGGAUACCCGCUGAACUUAAGCAUAUCAAUAAGCGGAGGA